rnacentral:rRNA from 1 species
GAUGAACGCUGGCGGCGUGCCUAAUACAUGCAAGUCGAGCGAUGCGGGGACGGGUGAGUAACACGUGGAUAACCUCCCAUAAGACUGGGAUCACUUCGGGAAACCGGCGCUAAUCCGGAUACUUAUAGAUGGCUUCGCGCUGCAUUAGCUAGUUGGUAAGGUAACGGCUUACCAAGGCAACGAUGCAUAGCCGACCUGAGAGUGGGAUGGGCCACACUGGAACUGAGACACGUUCCAGACUCCUACGGGAGGCAGCAGUAGGGAUACUUCCGCAAUGGGCGAAGUCCUGACGGGGAAACGUCACGUAGGGGAUGAAGGUCUUCGGAUCGUAAAACUCGGUUAUUAGGGAGGCGGUACCUAAUUAGAAAGCCACGGCUAACUACGUGCCAGCAGCCGCGGUAAUAC